rnacentral:lncRNA from 1 species
GCCAUAUAUCUAGGACGCGUGACCUCCUCUCCUUCUGCCCAUCCAUGGCGCUCGGCAACCAUCGCCCCUGCUCCUCUUCCUUGGAGGCCGGGCGGGGCUCCCUCCAUGGGCGAGCCUCCAACCUUCCCUGUGUACUCUCUCGAACCCAAGUGCAAGGUGCCCCCGCGUGCUCUAUGGCCGCACGCGCCUGGCCUUGCCAUCUGUGGAGCUCGGCAGCCGGAGCCGCGUAUCCGCCCCGGCUGUGGUCGACCGGCUUCGCUUCAUUAAUCUGGGUAAGUAACCCUCUUCAACGUUCACUCUUGUCCCUGCUACGCAUAGAGCUCGUUGCCUUAGGAACUCGUGCAUCAGAGGCUUGGAUUUGGGUGUGCGCCGUUGAUGCGCCACCGUGCGGGCUGACCGACGCCGCCGCCGUGCUCGGUUUUUGGCGGAGGAAGGAGGCGAUGGGUGGACCGUUGAUUCGGCUAUGGAUGGAUGUGAUCGUGCUUCGCGUACCCCCUUCAUGUGUCAGAGUCUGACCGUUGGAUCUGAUCGGAUGUACGAGAUUCUCUCUCGGCUAUUUAAAUCCUGGGCGUUGGUCCCUGAUCUAACGGCACACAAUACGUACCGGUUCGUCGUAGCGGGCUUUUAAUCUGGGUCCUCGGUUCUGGAUCGGGCGGCUCAGAUUCCAUCUUACCCCCUUGCCGUGGUCAUUUUCUAAACGAGCCCCUCGGAUUUCGAUGAAUUAACCCGCCGUCCAAUUGCACUAUUCUCUGAGUCUUAGAAAACUUACGCUAGAGCCCCUGCGUUCCUCUGUUUUUGACGCCCAGUCCAGAGAACAGUAAAAAUAGGAAAUUAAUUGUAGAAAAUGAUUUUUAAUACAAAAAUAAUUCUAGAAACUUGUAAAAUUCAUAGAAAAUUCAUAUUAAACCCUUUUGGGUCCAUUCCAGUGACAUUAAUUUUGUAUUAGUAUUUUCUACCAACCAUAACAUUGUUUAGCCAUGAAACUUGAACUAAAAUUAUCCACAUGAGUUAUGCUAUUCCAAGUACCUAAUAAUUCCAGAAAUUCAUAACUUGGUACCCGUAACUCCGAAUUUAGUAAUUCUUGUACUCACGAUCUCGUUAUACAACGUAGAAUAUUAAUACACAGUUUAUUCUUAUGUUUGGUGUGAUGUUAAUUUUGUCUAUACCAUGCUUGUUUGUGUUGCUACGACUAGCGCGAGGUUACGAGUCACCUGAAGAUCAUCCUGGUACCUGGAAUCUCAAGUCCCAGGCAAGUUGUGCCCUUGAUCACUUCUUUUUACCCACUCAUGUUCUAAUUAAUCAUAAUGAUCUGCAUAGGUUUAAUUUUGAUGGGACCCAAUAGGUCACCCUAGUUUGUUUAUCCUGAAUACCUUGUUUACCCCUGAAUCACUUGGGUAGUUCUGCUACUGCUUUAUAUGGUUUUGGGUUAAUAUUUCAUUAUAUCUAUGUUCCAAUUAUGUUGUUAUUUUAUUUAUGUUCAUGACAAGAUCAUUAAAUGUUAAUUGGAACAUAGAGCUUAACUUGAGAAACACGUGCCGCCACAAGGGUUUAUGGACGCCCUUGGCUGAUUAAUUAGGAAAGCUAGUGGAGGACUACCUUACCCGAAAGGGGCAAGGGCAGUAGGGGAGUGGUCAGUGUAGGGAGGCCCUCGGGAGGAUUUUGCUGCGAUGGCGGUCCUGCAAGAGAUUCCUGCAUUGGAGCUUCCUAUAAACUGUAGCGGGUUUUCUGAAGCUAGUGGAACUUUGUAAAGGCCUCGUAGUGUUACCCUGCCUCGCCUCCUCGGUAGAGGUGUAUGGGAAGUCGCGAUCCCUUGGCAGAUGGGUAACACGACUUGUGGGUAAAGGGUACCACCUCUGCAGAGUGUAAAACUGGUAUACUAGCCGAGCUCACGGUCAUGAGCAGCUCAGGACUCUCUGAUGAUUAAAUUAUGGAACUAAAUUCAAUUUGUCAUAUGCAUUGCAUUGCAGGUGAUGUUGUUACUUUUGUUCUACUAUUUAAUUGGGUUGGUAUUUACUUAUACUUAGUAAUUGCUAAUAAAAUUUUGACCAACUUUAAAAGCAAUGCUCAGCUCUAACCAUCCUCUUUGGUAAGCCUUACACUUCACGUGAGCUCCCACCUUUGGCGAGUUCAUGCACAUUAUUCCCCACAACUUGUUGAGCGAUGAACGUAUGUGAGCUCACUCUUGCUGUCUCACACCCCCCCCACAGGUCAAGAAUAGGUACCGCAGGAUGAGGCGCAUGGAGGAUGCUGUGAUGAGUUCGUGAGAGGUCUAGGCCGUCGUCUCCCAGUCAACUUUGGGUUGCUGGACCGUUGUCUCCUUAUAAUGUAAUUAUUUAUUUAUUUUGUAUAGAACUCCUAUUAUAUAGUAAAGAUGUGACAUUCGAUCCUGUGCCAUGAUUCAUCAUAUGU